rnacentral:rRNA from 1 species
UACGUGGGGAGCAAGCGUUGUCCGGAAUCAUUGGGCGUAAAGCGCGCGUAGGUGGCUUCGUAAGUCCGUUGUGAAAGUCAAAGGCUCAACCUUUGAAAGCCGAUGGAUACUGCGGAGCUAGAGUACGGAAGAGGCGAGUGGAAUUCCUGGUGUAGCGGUGAAAUGCGCAGAUAUCGGGAAGAACACCAGUGGCGAAGGCGGCUCACUGGUCCGGUACUGACGCUGAGGUGCGAAAGCGUGGGGAGCAAACAGG